rnacentral:rRNA from 1 species
UCGACCUGAGCUCAGGCAAGAUUACCCGCUGAACUUAAGCAUAUCAAUAAGCGGAGAAA